rnacentral:lncRNA from 12 species
CAGACAUCAGGUGUAAUUUGGAGACCAGUAGAAAGAGAAAACAGAAAGCAGUGCUAUAAUUCUAACAAAAUGUGUGUUUUCUGAGGAAGCAUGAGGGUUUUCACAUAUUAAAAGCAUCUAAAGAGCUUUUUACUUCUUUUUACUUGAGAGUUUUUCCCUUGUGUGAGAGCUGAGAAGAUACAGUGUCAGAAAUUAAGGCUUUCCUGAAU